UUCAUGGUUCCCUGCUGUUUCUUUGUGGCCAUGCUGGCCCCUCUGGGCUGGGCCCUUCAGCAAUCACCACAUACAGUUGUCCGGGAGGGAGACCCUGUGACUCUGGAAUGUUCUGCAUCAGCGAAAAAUUAUGUGAACAUGUACUGGUACAAGUUAGGUGUGGAGAAGAAUGCCAGUAUGCAGUUGGUUGUAUAUUCAGUGGAAGGUAGCAAAGCAGAUAUUGAGAAGGAAUUCAAAAAUCGCUUCCAGAGUAAUGGGACCAAGAACAACCAUUUAUCUGUGAAGAUAGAGCAUGCCCUGCUCAAUGACACAGGCACCUAUUUCUGUGAGAAAUUUGCAGGAGGAAACUCUGGUUUGUCCUUCGGCAGUGGCACAAAACUUACAGUAAUGGGGAAGAAUGAUGAAAUCAUACCUCCAGCUGUGGCCAUCUUUUCCCCAUCAAAGCAGGAGAUCCAGCAGAAGAGCAAGGCCACGCUGGUGUGCCUGGCCUCUGGUUUCUACCCUGACCACCUGACUGUGGUCUGGAGGGUGAAUGGCGUGAAAAGGACCGAAGGGGUGGGGACAGACGAGUCCUCCACACAGAAUGGGAGCACCUACUCACUGACCAGCCGCCUGAGGAUGCCAGCCUGGGAAUGGUUCAACCCUUUGAAUCGCUUUGAGUGUGUUGCCAAUUUUUUUCAGAACGGAACAACGCAAUCAAUAAGCAAAUUUAUCCAUGGUGAUGCUGGUUGUGCGCUCACAGAAGAGUCGUAUUUGCGGUAUGGAAAUUCUCUGAAGCUCACUUACCUCAUCCUGUGUGGCAAAGCCUUGGUCUACGCAGUUUUGGUGAGUGGUCUGGUGUGGACAGCCAAGACUGGUGUCAAGUUAUCUAGAGAAUAAAUGAAGAGCCCUUGGCAUCACAUCAGCAGGAGCACAACUAAUCCUCUGGCUUUCCACAGCAAAGUAUCGGUGCUUUUAAGAACUCCUGAAUACAAUUUUUUAAAUAAUUGUCUCUUGCCAUCCUGUUCUUCACUCUGUUGUAAUCACUGCUGAGCUUUUCCUGUACUUCUGUAUCAAAAUGUAUCAUACUGUCUUGUAAUAUAUGUUUAAAACUAGCACUUUCUUAAUGCUCAGAAGCUGAGAGCUCAUC